rnacentral:rRNA from 1 species
GACGAACCGUCCAAACGUUGUUCGGAAUCACUGGGCUUAAAGGGCGCGUAGGCGGGUUCCCAAGUCGGUGGUGAAAUCUUUCGGCCCAACCGGAAAACAGCCGCCGAUACUGGGAGUCUCGAGUGAGGUAGGGGUCGAUGGAACUCCAGGUGGAGCGGUGAAAUGCGUAGAUAUCUGGAGGAACGCCGGUGGCGAAAGCGAUCGACUGGACCUUUUCUGACGCUGAGGCGCGAAAGCCAGGGGAGCAAACGGG